GCCGGGCUAGCUCAAUCGGUAGAGCGUGCGGCUCUUAUUAGUUUAGACAUCGGAAUAUUCAAAUAUCUCGUCUAGUUGAUCAACCGCAAGGCUGCGGGUUCGACCCCCGCGUUCGGCU
rfam:Paracoccidioides sp. &apos;lutzii&apos; Pb01 unplaced genomic scaffold supercont2.14, whole genome shotgun sequence.